rnacentral:rRNA from 1 species
UACGGAGGGGGCUAGCGUUGUUCGGAAUUACUGGGCGUAAAGCGUACGUAGGCGGCUUUGUAAGGUAGAGGGGAAAGCCCGGGGCUCAACUCCGGAAUUGCCUUUAAGACUGCAUCGCUUGAAUCAUGGAGAGGUGAGUGGAAUUCCGAGUGUAGAGGUGAAAUGCGUAGAUAUUGGGAGGAACACCAGUGGCGAAGGCGGCUCACUGGACCGGUACUGACGCUGAGGCGCGAAAGCGUGGGGAGCAAACAGG